ACUCCUACGGGAGGCAGCAGUGGGGAAUAUUGCACAAUGGGCGCAAGCCUGAUGCAGCCAUGCCGCGUGUAUGAAGAAGGCCUUCGGGUUGUAAAGUACUUUCAGCAGUGAGGAAGGUGGAUGCGUUAAUAGCGUAUUCAUUUGACGUUAGCUGCAGAAGAAGCACCGGCUAACUCCGUGCCAGCAGCCGCGGUAAUACGUAGGGUGCGAGCGUUGUUCGGAAUUACUGGGCGUAAAGGGCUCGUAGGUGGUUUGUCGCGUCGUCUGUGAAAUUCCGGGGGCUUAACUCCGGGCGUGCAGGCGAUACGGGCAUAACUUGAGUACUNUAGGGGUAACUGGAAUUCCUGGUGUAGCGGUGAAAUGCGCAGAUAUCAGGAGGAACACCGAUGGCGAAGGCAGGUUACUGGGCAGUUACUGACGCUGAGGAGCGAAAGCAU
rnacentral:rRNA from 1 species